AAGUCGUAACAAGGUUUCCGUAGGUGAACCUGCGGAAGGAUCAUUACCGAGUGAGGGCCCUCUGGGUCCAACCUCCCACCCGUGUUUAUUUUACCUUGUUGCUUCGGCGGGCCCGCCUUAACUGGCCGCCGGGGGGCUUACGCCCCCGGGCCCGCGCCCGCCGAAGACACCCUCGAACUCUGUCUGAAGAUUGUAGUCUGAGUGAAAAUAUAAAUUAUUUAAAACUUUCAACAACGGAUCUCUUGGUUCCGGCAUCGAUGAAGAACGCAGCGAAAUGCGAUACGUAAUGUGAAUUGCAAAUUCAGUGAAUCAUCGAGUCUUUGAACGCACAUUGCGCCCCCUGGUAUUCCGGGGGGCAUGCCUGUCCGAGCGUCAUUGCUGCCCUCAAGCACGGCUUGUGUGUUGGGCCCCGUCCUCCGAUCCCGGGGGACGGGCCCGAAAGGCAGCGGCGGCACCGCGUCCGGUCCUCGAGCGUAUGGGGCUUUGUCACCCGCUCUGUAGGCCCGGCCGGCGCUUGCCGAUCAACCCAAAUUUUUAUCCAGGUGACCUCGGAUCAGGUAGGA
rnacentral:rRNA from 1 species